UGCCUCGCCCUUCUAUCGUUCCGCUGCCUCGAAUUGUUAUUCCUCGCAGCUUUGUGAAUUCGAUCCACCACAGCAGCCCAACGCUCCAGUCCUUGGCAUCAGUCGGAGCAAUGACCAUCCCAUCCAGCUGCAACAGAGACAACAUGAUUCCUCAGCAGGGAACUCACUACAAUUCUUGGCGUGUUUGUGUUCUACCACAUAAUCGAUCACGGUCGAUCCCAUCUGUCUCCAUGUUUGAGUCGAGAGAUUACCUGAAACACAAUGUUGGGCUGGCAGUAAGGUCCCGAGAACGAGAUAGGGCCG
rnacentral:lncRNA from 1 species